AGAGUUUGAUCAUGGCUCAGGAUGAACGCUGGCGGCGUGCCUAAUACAUGCAAGUCGAACGCGAAAGGUCUGAAGCCUUCGGGCGGAGGGCCGAGUAGAGUGGCGAACGGGUGAGGAACACGUAGGUGACCUGCCCCGGAGAGGGGGAUAACCGUCGGAAACGGCGGCUAAUACCCCAUAAGCUCACGCGAGUUAGAGGGCGUGUGAGAAAAGCUCCGGCGCUCCGGGAGGGGCCUGCGGCCCAUCAGCUAGUUGGUAGGGUAAAGGCCUACCAAGGCGAAGACGGGUAGGGGGCCUGAGAGGGUGGUCCCCCACAUGGGAACUGAGACACGGUCCCAACUCCUACGGGAGGCAGCAGUAAGGAAUAUUGCACAAUGGGCGCAAGCCUGAUGCGGCAACGCCGCGUGCCCGAGGACGGCCUUCGGGUUGUAAAGGGCUUUUCUGGCUGACGAGGAAGGACGGUAGGCCAGGAAUAAGCGUCGGCUAACUACGUGCCAGCAGCCGCGGUAAU
rnacentral:rRNA from 1 species